rnacentral:lncRNA from 1 species
GCCAGACUCCAGACACGUGUCAGGAGGGACUGCCCUUCUCUCUGAUGGAACCUCUAACAGAAGCUGGAACAUCAGGGGUGGAAACUGAUGCAACUGUCCCAGCAGCCUUGCAGGCAGGAAUUUGCCAGGCAGUUAUUAAAACAUCGUGCCUGCCAAGCGCAGGAGGAUUAUUUCGGCAUCAGCUCGCAUUAACUGCUCCACGCUCAGGUCGCCAUGUUUGAGCUGCGUCUGAAGCAGCUCGAGAACGGCCGCAGCCGAUCGUUCGGCUCUGGCUGCUCUGCUCCCUCGCUUUCCUUGCAGCCCAGCUCGCUGCUUUGCACUUCCGAUCACUG